GUAAACUUCAUUCUAUGUCCUUACUUAGCUCACAAAGAAGCAAGGGACACAUUCAUCAAACACUAACUUCAUGACAACAUGACAAAUUAGGUAGUGGACAAGAGUGCUCAGUGUCAGGGGUGGGCGUGCUGAGGAGGGAGUGAUGAGCUCUGCCUGCCUCCCAGAGGAGAUGGUAUUUGAGCCAGGCCUUCAGGAAUGCUGUGCACUUCUAGAACUUGGCAGAGGGUGAGGGGCUGCAGCCUAGGAGAGGGAACAAAGCAGGAAAGCACAGAGCAUGUGUGGGGAGCGACAGGUGGUAUGAAGUGACGGUAGUUGAACUCAAGGUUGCAAAAGCCAAGAGUAGGCAUAUGUCCUGUGCUCCACUAGUCCUAGCUGGAUCGUGGACAUAUUACCAUCAUUACAAAUAUCAAUAGUUUGUGAUUACUUCAAACAAUCUGAAGUUGAAGGACCCCAGAUAUCCUUCAAAACAGGACGCUGACAUAGUUUUAUGAAUGCAAACAGCCAAGGAGAGCAGAUGUUGAGUGGUUGCCAGAGUGAAAUGAGGAAGCCCUGCUGCCAGCUUCCCACCAAAAAGCAGGCUCCGGCCCUGAACGCAGGAGAGUUGCUAAAGAAGUUGUUCACAGAGGCGGGAGAGAGCAGGCUACUGGUUUCCUUCAAAAUGGAAUAGGAAACAGAAAACGUGAAUGAGCAGCAGCAGAGUCAUCAGGGAGAGAUGCAGACUCUCAGGACUUGCCCCAGACCUCCUGAAUCAGAGUCCAGCAUUGAACAAGUCCCCUAGGUGACUGGUCCACACAGUCUGCAGUUCCUAACCAGCUCCCAGACUACUAUCACACCAAAAAAAGAGGCUUCACUUGGAGUGCUGCCACUGGAUGGGGCCUGACUUGUUUAUCCGGAAAGAAGUGACUUCCCUGGGAAGAAGGUUGCAUUUGUGAAAGCUUGUGAGGCAUUUCAAGGCUGCAUUCAGGUACAGGUCUUUGAAGAGUUUGCAUUGCUCUGUGAGUUACCAGAGGACUGCCAUCUUUAAUCCAAUUCAGACAGCGAUUCACCAGGCUUUGCAUGUGCUCAGGCCUGUUGCUCCUUAUCAGAGGCCCACAUGGAGCUCUCAGUACAGCUGCAGCCCUGGAGAAUUUCCCUGUCUCCUCCUGUUCUCUCUCUCUCCUCCUCCUCCCGCUUCUCUUCCCUGCCUCUCCCCCACCCCUAUACAAACACACACAUACACACAGACACACAGACACACACACACACACACACACACACACCUACUCCUUAGCUCUUUAAUUUUCCUUUUAAGGCAUCAAAAUCAAUUUUGGGACUCUAUUUGGUACAAAGAGUUGAUAUGGAUUUGAUACGGAUAGAGUUGACUGAUCUCUACUCUGGGUUUGAAGAUGUUGCUGCAAAUGGAAAGGAAAUAAUCCCGGGCUAUUGUGACAGAUGACAUGGUGUAGAGGGAAGAGCGCAGGACCGAAGGUGGAGAAUCACUUGUUUAUGCAACACAUAUUUCCUGAACAUCAAAUACAAGGAUAAAGCCAUGAAGGAAACAGAGCCCUGUUUCUGCAGAACACACGUUCUGGUUGGAGAAGACAAGUAGCGAAUACACCAACAAAUAAGAGAAUAUUUGACGAUGUUGAGUGUUUUAUGAAGGGGAUAAAGAGUGACUGCAGGGCUCAGAAGGUAGCGAUUAUUUUAAGUAGGGAAGGUCUUUUGUAAGAAGGUGCUAUUUAAAUUGAGACUUUAAAGGUGUGCAACUUUGGAUAAAUUGGAAACAAGAAGGGAAGUGCAUUCUGUGGGAUCUAGUAAGAGCAGAGAGUGAUGACCAACUCCAGACCCCAAAGAGAAAGGAGAGUGAGGCUAUUGGCACUUGGAGGCAGAGAAAGCCAUGUGUAGAGGGUGGCCCGACUGAGCUAAAACCUUCAGUCUGUUGGUCUUGAGCUAUUUGAGGGUCUAUUAUGUGCAGGAUUAGGCUCGGCACUAUCGAGGAUCACAAAAGCGUGUUAGUUAUGGAGUCUUCCAGCAAUAGGCUUACAGUCAAGAAUGGGAAACAACACAUAUGCACGUAAUUUGAUUGAAAUGUAGGAAGUUUUAAGGAUGAUAGGAGGAGUUCAGAUAAAGACUAGAAAGUUCUCAGGUGCCAGAUUGCUUCCAGCCAACAGAUCAGAGGAACUGCCAUAGAGGAGGUGGCUGUGUGUGCCCUGGACCUCAAAGGAGAGAGAUGAUAUUCAGACGUGUAGCAGUGAUAGGCAGAAGCACAUUUUAAAUGGAGGGAAUGAAACAGGAUAAGCAAAAGACUGGUGAUUGAAAAACUCUGGUUGCCUGUGCAGAAAAGAGAAAUCUUAGUUUGACUGGAGCUUCUGGCACAUGAAAGGGAUUUAGAGUUUGCCGUUUCUGUGAAUCUGUCCAUCUUCACCCUCAUGCUGUUCUCCUUUCCUCUUUUAACCUGUAUCUUCUCUCUCUUUGUUUUGUUGACUUUCUCUUUUUUGUUUUCCGUUGUCCUUUUUUAUGAGUGGAGCAUUUCAGUGCAAGAGCAAAUGGGAGUGGAGUGGGGUUCUGUGGAAUGUCAGAAAUGCAUGCUCAACCUAGAUUUCCCAAGCUCUCACUCAGUCUUAUCCCAGGGAUCACUUGACAUGAUGGGAAAUGAUGGGAAAAAAAUAAACAAUGUGAUCCCAGAGCAAAACUUAUUUACUUUAUCUGUUUAACCCAGUUCUACCGCUUCUCUCGCCAUUUCCCAAGAACCAGGGGCAGAAAACAUGAGAAAGCAGAAGGGAGACAGAUUUUAGAGAACGUGAGUUUGUCGUUUUUCCUUCUAGGAUGAGAGAACAUGUCUGCCACCACCAGUUUCAGGGAACAACUGAUUCAUUUCACAGCCCCACCAAUGUAUACAACCUGGUUUGUUCUUGAGCCAGGUGCUUUCUCAUUGGUGACAGAGCAGCAGUACUUUCCAGCAUGCUGUACAAUUAUCCAGACUAGAGGCCCUUCCUCUGCAUGGAUUGGCCCUACUUAAG
rnacentral:lncRNA from 1 species